CAAGACCUGAACGGAGACACAGGCGGCACACGUCAGAGAGGCGUCACGAGGCGGGGAGUUUGUGUUUCAACUCCUGCAACGAGGAGGAGACGAGGUGAAGGAGACGAGGUGGUGAGGAAGGAGCCUUGCUGAAGGAGACGAGGUGGUGAGGAAGGAGCCUUGCUGAAGGAGACGAGGUGGUGAGGAAGGAGCCUUGCUGAAGGAGACGAGGUGGUGAGGAAGGAGCCUUGCUGAAGGAGACGAGGUGGUGAGGAAGGAGCCUUGCUGAAGGAGACGAGGUGGUGAGGAAGGAGCAAACAGCAGUGGCCUCUAAGGGGUUAAACUCCGUCCUCUGGACAGAAAUAAUGUCUUUAAAUGUUUAAAUGAGAGGAUCAAGAGAAACGGCAAGAUGGAGGAGAGGAACUCAGGGUGAGGGAUGAACGCCCCGCUCCACCUCUUCAUCCAACGCUCCAUCCAUCCUCCGAGCGCUGCUUUCCUCCCUCCCUCCCUCUCUCUCUCUCCCUCUCUUGCUCUCAUCUCCCUCUUUCCCUCUCUCCCCUCUCUCUCUCUCUCCCUCUGUCUCUCCCUCCCUCUCUCCCCAACUCUCCCUUCAUCUCUCUCCCCCUCCCCCACCCUCCCUCUCAUCUCCCUCUCCCUCCCUCUGUCUCUCCCCCUCCCUCCCACCCUCCCUCCCUCACUAGAUGACAUUGACUCGUUGCAUUUGGUGCAUUAAAGGGUACCUGUUGUGAUCUCGAAUAUGUAGCCAGAUCAAAAGAUAAUGUGUUUCUAAAGGUUAUUCAUGCACUGACGGUCCAGUAUUCAAUAACAAUACGUAGUUUAGGCUGUUCAAAGUCCCUCAACUCCGACAAGCUUCAUUGCACUGGUGCUUGAAUAUGGCGCCGGUGGUGUGACGUCACAUCGUUGAUAGAUCGACAGCCAACCACAGCGGAUGUGUUCAGAAACCAAUGUAAACAACGUCGAGCGCUCGCAAACAAAUGCUGAGAACUUGAUAAUAAUAAAGAAAACGGGCGAAAUAUGGACGAUGAAAGAUUGUCAGAUUCAGCAACUGGAUACUUGUAUGAACCAUUAAAAGCAGACUAUCCCCAUUUAGUGAAUUGUGACAGCGAUGAUAGCGAUGAUUCUGAUGAAGUUGAUGCCGAAGGACCGCCGGUCCAGAUGCUUCACCGUGCGGACCGUGCACGCAAGUCGGCGGACGUUUGGUGCAGUUGUGGGAAAUGUGUGCCACAAAAAACAGACAUAGAGUGCAUUUGUUGUAAAGAACACAAACGUAUGUCCGAUGAUAUAGUGUCAUUAGACCUAAUCUGCUUUACACAAAAGCGUGAGCUUGAGAGCUACAUCGCGCAUAAGCCAGCGCUGGAGAUGUCUUUCAUUGAUGCAAUGAUCGGCCGACAUGUUCGGGGGCCUGCACCCGAGGGAGAACUGUCAAAUCGGUAAGUUUGCCAGUUGUUUCAUGUCGGCUAAUUUGCGAUCACCAGAGUUGGUGUGAUUAUUACUAAUAUUCUGAAUAUUGUAGCGACCCUGGGUCAGGAACGCUACGAGACGUAGAUGGCUUAUAGGGUGUUUAUUCAAGGAACAUAGAACAAGCUCCUGUUGGCCGUCGCCUACGCCAAAACGACAGCAAAACGCCGUGAAAACCUCCAAACCAGCUUCACGUCUGCUCCGGGUCAUAGCUCUGCUCCGAACGAGUCGUAACACAACAACACACACACAACAACAUCACUCGCUGUCCAAUCACAGACACGCCUCACAGCUACCAGCUCGUGAGACGUUCACUUACAUCCGGAACAUAACAUUUAUCACAUAACAUUCCCUCAGUCCGUCACAAUAUAUUCACCUUUAUUCUCCCAUAAGCGAGAGGCCUAACAUUUGCCUGCAUACUAUCGCCCAUGAUUAUGAUGAUCCUUUAGCAUAGACUAAGAAGCCCAUACUUUAUAUAGCGGUCUCAGUAGGCCGCGCACCAUGGAGGCCGCGGUAUAUCGAAUAAGGCCGCGUCCGCUGCCCGUGUAUCGUGGCAUUAGCAGUAUCUCCAUUGAUUUUGACCAUAUAGAUUGUGUAAUUCUUCAACUUGGUCCGGGCCUGAUAUCCCAACAUUUCGGCCUGCAUGUUUCUCUCAUAGCAAUCUGGAUCGAAGUGAUCUUCACAUACCACGGAGUUUCUGCUGAAUGUAAAUGUUUUUAAAGUAUGCCCGGUUCCUAAAUUGUGCAGCCACUUCUUCGCGAGCACCUUCUUUUCCUCUGUAUUAGGUUUGGGCACGCAAAAGAACUUUUUAGUCUUGUGAGUCCGUUUAUUAUUUAGACAACCGAACGCCUUGCACUGCGCCAUCUUGGCGUGAACUCCAGACGUGAACUGGUUUGAGGCCACCGAUCUAUCCCAAGAAGCAACGCGUGUAGAAGUGGCUCCGGAUUGGCUGAAUUCCUUUCAACGACUCUACGUCAUAGUGACCUUUGACAUGAGUAAAUAACUGGCAAGAUGUCUGCGCACUGAAGCGUUCACGGACUCGGAAUGUUGACAAAGAAAUUUAAAGCCUCGGGCUAUGCGUGACUUGUUGACAAUAGCGGCGGGGAAAAUAUGAUUUAUUUGAUGCGCCUAAUGGAUGUAGCACGUUGUUGUUUUGGGCUACAGGUACCCUUUAAGAUCGUGAUCAUGUGAUUUUGUCCUUUUUUCUUUUACUUCUAAAAGUUCGUCUUGCGCAACUUCCAUUAGGCCUGGGGAGUCAAUCCCUCAAUCUUGAAAUGCGCUCAGAACUUUGAAUUUAGCGCCUUUAAAAUAGGAAUAAUUGUUUGCGAAGUUAUUUUUUUCCUCCCUGAUAUAAGAUUAAUUAAUUUGAGAAGAAUUUAGGACUUUUUACUAAACUAUAAAGCAUAAAAUGACCUGUUUUAAUGGAUGUUCUUCUUCUUCCUCUCCCUGAUGUCGUGAGAAUAUGAAAUAUUCAUUCUCUCUCCCCGUCUGCCUCCUGGGGGUCUGAGCGUGACACCCGGUCCUCACACUGCUGUUUCACCACACACACACUCACACACACACACACACACACACACACACACACACACACACACACACACACACAGGACAGAAAUGGCCUGGCAUGGUGCGAGCGUGUGUGUGUUUCACUUCGUCUUACGCAACAGCCUCUACUUCAACGACAGUAAAGCCUCAACCUCAGCCUGAAGUUCAACUGUCACCAUGGCAACAAAGAGCCGCAGCAGCGGCAGUCACCCACACACAUUCAUCCAAAAUAUAUAUAUAUAUAUAUAUCCACACACACACACAUAGUACAAACAGCUGUUUGGGAGCCCGGGGGCAGAAGAUUACAUCGUUACCCCUGAAUGGAUGAGAAUGUGAACGCAACCCGACCAUUAUUGUUAAAACACAGACUCUCGACUGCAGAGCGUCGGUUCAUUUGCAUUUAAAUGAUAUUCAUAGCGGCCGCGUAUCCUGACGGGCAAAGUGUCGGGCGACCGCGGCGUGCACGGCUCUCUCCUCCAAUCGACUCGCAGAGCUGUUGGCGUUGACGCGGUCUCCCUGCGUCGGAACCGAGUCGCUCUAGAUGAGGUUUACUGACCCGGCGGUCUUGUAUUUGAUUUCAUUACCGCGGUAUGAACUGAUUUGGGGCAUUUUUUCGAUCCUCCAGUUCCUGGCCGGGCUGCACUGUGUGUGUGUGUGUGUGUGUGUGUGUGUGGAUCAAUGCACUAAUCCUGUUAACAGUCCCCUGAGCCCAGAUUGAAGGGGCUUGAUCAACGCAUUAGCCGCCACACGCGCGGGUCACGGCCUGGUGUCGCCUCACAGCCGGCCGGCCCUCACAAAAAACAAACAACUUUUGUUUUUUUGCGUACAUCCAUGGAAACUGUUCAACGCGCCAACAAACAUGGACGUCUUUCAAGAUGCUGAAUGUGUGUAAGGAAGCAGUGCAACAACAAAGGAGGCAGGGGAGGAACUUUACAUAUUCUAUAGGGGGCAAUCAGUGUUGUAAUUCCACUACUUUUAGCGGUAACGAGCAUGUAACAAAGUAUUUUUUUAAAUCAACUAACGCAGUUACAAUUACUGAAAUUUAAAUGAGUUCGUUACUCGCGUUACUCUCUUUUGUGAAAAAUGAACACUUGCAGACAAGAAGACAAGCUAGGCCGACUUUAGCUGCUUCUGAUCUGACAUCGCAGGACCUUGGUGGCGCAAUGAUGUAACGUCUCAGACGUUAUGGACUGAUGACACGGAGACGGGACGGCGUUAUUAAUCCUCACUUUAUUGGGCAUCCACCAACACAGACAGCGUGCUCCUCUCGGCUCAGCAGCUCCAACGUCAACAACAACGGUUCCCGUCAACCACCCUUAACUCCCGUUUUCCGGCAGGUUAACCCCGCCUCCCCUCUACUCCGCCAAUCACAGGCACGCCCCCUCGACCAGCAUCACGGUGCCACUUCCAGUGUUGCCAGGUCCGCGGAUUUCCCGCGGAAUUGGGCUACUUUUGAAUUGUUGCCGCGGGUUGAAUUUUUUGUCCGCUGGUUCGGGUAGACCUAUUUUGCAUGCAAAUUACAUGAAUAUCUUUAAAUAAAAAUCCAUAUUUUAAAUGAAAUAAUUUAUUUAUACCCAAAUCCUACCAAACUGACUCCAGAUCAGCACGUACACGCCGACACAUCCGCGCACACAGGUGAGCACACUCUCACUAGCACCCCCCCCCCCCUCAAUUAUAUGCAGCACCUCAAGGCACCUUUGUUUUCUCUUUUAAUUAGUGUUAAUACUGUAAUCACUUUUAUUUCAUUGGGCCUAAUGUGGUAAAAAAAAACACUGUUAAAUGACUGAGACAGUUAUUUUGUAUUAAGUUAAGUAUUAAAAGGGACUUUUGUACUACUGCUUGAUUUGAAGGCCUGUUGCCCUGUUGAUUGCAAUAAAUAGGUCUACAACAUGUU